GCCUUCGUGGUGUAGUGGUCAGCACGCACGAUACGUAAACAGACGGGUCCGUGGUUCGAUUCCCGGUGAAGGCG
rnacentral:tRNA from 1 species